CCUACGGUGGGCAGCAGUGAGGAAUAUUGGUCAAUGGUCGCGAGCCUGAACCAGCCAAGUAGCGUGAAGGAUGACUGCCCUACGGGUUGUAAACUUCUUUUAUGAAGGAAUAAAGUGAGUCACGUGUGCCUUUUUGUAUGUACUUUAUGAAUAAGGAUCGGCUAAUUCCGUUCCAGCAGCCGCGGUAAUACGGAGGAUCCGAGCGUUAUCCGGAUUUAUUGGGUUUAAAGGGUGCGUAGGCGGGCAUUUAAGCCGGCGGUCAAAUGUCGGGGCGCAACCCCGGCCUGCGGGCGGAACUGGGUGCCUUGAGUGGGCGAGAAGUAUGCGGAAUGCGUGGUGUAGCGGUGAAAUGCAUAGAUAUCACGAAGAACUCCGAUUGCGAAGGCAGCUUACUAAACUAUAACUGACACUGAAGCACGAAAGCGUGGGGAUCGAACAGGAUUAGAUACCCGGGUAGUC
rnacentral:rRNA from 1 species